AUUAGCUCAGUCGGUAGAGCACCUGACUUUUAAUCAGGGUGUCCGGGGUUCGAAUCCCCG
rnacentral:tRNA from 2 species